GUAUUGUAUUGCGUUAAACGCGGUGCACAUUCCAUAAGACUUCACUACGGUGUGUGUGUAAAGACAUAGAACCACAGGAGGAAGACGGUGUGUCCCCCGACCAUAGAACUACAGAGGGUGCACAGGUGUGAGUGGAUGUGUGAACAGAGCGUGCACAUGCCCCCGUGUGAGGACCAGCAACAACUCAUGUCAACGACUCAGUAAUGAUCCUUCCGCAGGUUCACCUACGGAAA
rnacentral:misc_RNA from 1 species